rnacentral:rRNA from 1 species
AGCGAACGCUGGCGGCAGGCUUAACACAUGCAAGUCGAGCGGACCUUUCGGGGUCAGCGGCGGACGGGUGAGGAACGCGGGGGAACGUGCCUUCCGGUUCGGAAUAACCCUGGGAAACGAGGGCUAAUACCGGAUACGCCCCGAUGGGGAAAGGUUUACUGCCGGAAGCUCAGCCCGCGACUGCUUAGCUGGGUGGUGGCGUAACGGCCUAUCAAGGCGACGAUCAGUAGCUGGGCUGAGAGGAUGAUCAGCCACACUGGGGCUGGGCCGCGGGCCAGACUCUUACGCGAGGCAGCCGUGGGGAAUCUAGGACUAUCGGGGCAAGCCUGAUCCCGCCCUGGCGCUUGAGUGAUGAAGGCCUUAGGGUUGUACAGCUCUUUUAUCCGGGACGAUACUGACGGUACCGGAGGAAUAAGCCCCGGCUAACUUCGUG